GGUUCCAUUUCUCCAGCCCCCACUCAGCUUUUUAACAUUACAAUGGCGAGGAUUACAUGUUUCAACUACCAAUUGACGCUUUAAAUUUGCUUCAAGUUGGGUGAAACUGUUUCACCUCGCCUGGCUGGCAGUGGAGCGCAAAACUUGAAAAGAAAGCAGGUGCUUGUGAUUCAAUUGGCAACUUUGAAAGGUGUUCGCUGUGACCGUGCGUUUAUUUGCGAUCACUCACCUUCUGUUGCCUGCGUGCCAUAUCCGUGGGUUGUUUGGCAUUGAAAGGAAGGACUUUCAGCUUGUGGUUGGUCCGCAGGUGGUCGUUUAUGUUUACCUCCUUGCCCCGAGGAAGUCAAAGGCUUUUUUGGGGAGUCUUUUGGAACUUCAGUGUCCUCGUCAAUUUCUCCUCCCGAGUCUUCGCUGGAGGACGGGUCUAACAUGUUUUACAACAACACAGUUCUAGGCCAAGGUUGCUGGUGCCUGUCAUUGCUGCCUGCCGCUGCUCACCUUCUCCCUCUGCAUUCAAGAUUUGCUGAAUGAUCGCCUCAACGAUGGGCAUCACCAUGGCAACGGCGGAUGUGUUUUGGACCCACAUGGAUAGGAAGGCACAGCUGUUCAUGAAGCCCAACAUCAGCCUGCAAAGAGACAUCCACAGGGGCGCUAACCAAUGAAAAUGGGUGGUUCGCCAAAUUACCCUUAGGCUGCAUUUACACAGGCCGCCCAAUUCUGAUUUUUUUUCUUCUCCUAAUUGGUGAUUCAGAGCAUUCUAUUAGACCUUGAGAUAUAGCUCUUCUGCUGUGUUAGUAUUAAUACCUUUUAAAACACAUGGUCCUCCAAGAUGGUGACACAUUUGGUAUUUUUGGUAUUUUCUUAGGAUCCCAAUUAGCUGUUGCGAAAGCAGCAGCUACUCUUUCUGGGGUCCAAACACAACGUGAAAUAUGACAUAAUGCAGAACAUUAACAGACAAGAAAAGCUCAACUGCAGAACUAUGUAAAUUUAAAAUGUCACACAUAGCCUACAUUCACACAAAAUAUCUAGAUCAAAUCGGGGCGUUGUGCCGUGAGGUGUUGCUUUAUCUGUUUUUUUUUAAACCAGGUUGGCUGUUGAGCAAUCUGAGAUGGAAGACUUUCAUACAAUCAUGGCUCUAUAAAAUACUGUAUCUUUCUUUGAAUAUGUUCUGUAUUUGGGGACUGUGAAAAUACCCUUGGUGGCAUGUCUGGUGGGUAAAAUAUGUGUAAGAGCUGUGUGUAAGCCGACUAUGCAAACAAUUUGCAAUUUUCUUAUAAAUGAACAAGUGAUGCAGUCAGUCUUUAUUCUACAUUUAGCCAAGAGAGUCUGGCCUGCAUAGUAUUGAUAUUAGCCCUCUGAUUACAGUGAAGAGCAAGAUGGGAUUCUCUGUUCUGGGCCAGCUGCAGUUUUUCUAGGUCCUUUGCAGCACCUGACCAUAUGACUGGGCGAUACUUAAGAUAAGAUAAAGAUAAGAUAACUAGAGCCUUCAGUAAUUGCUUUGUAGAGUGUGGUUUAAAUGCAAAGGAUCUCUUUAUCACAGACGGACCUCCCCGCAUCUUUACAACCAUUGAAUCAAUAUGUUUUGACUGACAGUUUAGACAUUAUCAAAUUCAAAUAAAAUUGUAUUGGUCACGUACACAUUUUACAGAUGC